rnacentral:ncRNA from 1 species
GUAAAAGCAAUGAUAGAGACAGUAUAAAAGUAGAACCGAUCUAGCGAAUUGAGGAUGGUGUGAGCUCAGUGCGGAAAGCUUUUAGAAAAUCACUCUUGAGUUUUCAUUACGAAACAAGUAGUAAUGGACGGUUCAUCUCCGUUAUCGAUCUUAAAGUGAAUGUAAUGGAUCAACAUUAGAUUUAUAAGGGUGGUACCGCGAGUCUUCUCGUCCCUUUU